AACUGUUGCCUUCGUUGUGAGUAUUAUCUCUGCAUCGAGGAAAAUCCCAUGCUCUGCUAGGCUUGUUUCUGUGGCCCUCUUCUCCCUUAGAAAAGAACAAACACAGGCUACCCUCAAGUUCCAUCUGGUUAGCUCUGUGGUAGAUUAUGCAGGCAGGCCCCCUGACUGCCAGUAGAGCCUCUGCUCGGGGCACAUCAGAGCCUGUGCUUGGGGAUGCAGUGUGAGCACUGGGGUGGGGCUAUGGUGUGAGUUUGGGAUUGUAACGUGCACAUCAGCAGAGGUUACAUUUAGGUUUGUAUUAUGUGCAUCGGGGAAACGGUUUUGUCUAUGUGAUGGUUGGUUUUAAACUUCAACUUUGGCACAAUCUAAAGUUAACCUGGGCCAGGCAGUGGUGGCGCACACCUUUAAUCCCAGCACUUGUGAGGCAGAGGCAGGCGGAUUUCUGAGUUCGAGGCCAGCCUGGUCUACAGAGUGAGUUCCAGGACAAGCCAGGGCUACACCGAGUCUUGAAAAACCAAACCAAACCAAACCAAACCAAACCAAACCAAACCAAACCACACCCUCCCCCAUCCAAAACAAAACAAAACAACAACAACAAAAAAAACAAAACCAAUAAAGUUAACCUGGGCAGAGUUUUGCCUGAGAAAUUAUUCAGAUUGGGCGUGCCUGCAGGGAUUGUCUUGAUAGUUGAUGUAGGUGGACCCAGCCCACUGUGGGCGACACCAUUCCCCAUGAGGAAGUCCUGGGCUCUACAGGAGAGAAGUGGCAGAAAGGAUUCAUUUCUCUCUGCUCUCAACUGUGGGUGUGAUGUUGUGGGUGUGAUGUGGUGGGUGUGAUGUGGUGGGUAUGAUGUGGUGGGUGUGAUGUGGUGGGUGUGGUAUGGUGGACUGUAACCUGGAAUUGUGGUCCAAAUAAACCCCAAACCUUUCUUCCCCCACCUGGCUUUUUGGUCAGGGUAUUUUAUUAUAGCAACAGAAAUGAAACUAGAGGAAUCUGCAUUUAGGAUUGCAAUGUGUACACUGGGAGGGGUUUACAGUCUAUGUUUAGGAAUAAAUAUAUACACUGGGGAGGGAUUGUUUUCUAAGCAGGCUGAUCUUAGGCCACAGAGAUAAUAAGGUAUUCUACAGAAGAAAGUCAGUCAGCUUUUGGCUUUUGCAAAUAGGAAUCAAGGUUCUAAAUGCUCAGGUCCCUUGCCCAUGAAUGAGCAUCAGUACCUAUGGUUGCCUGUGCCUGGCAGGCAUGAGUGAGGCUGUGGCUGCAUAGACAUUCCAGGCAUGGUUUGUGAGGGUGUGUGUGAGCGCCUAUGUAUGGGAGUGUGAACACAGGUGUGUGAUGUGCACAGGUGUUGUGGGUUGUAUGCACGCUUGUGUGCACUUGGUGUUUCUCUGAAAGUACCAUGGCAUCUAAGGACGUUAGUGACUGAUACUUGUCCUCAACCCUUCCAGAAGGGCCUGCCACCUGCCUAGGAGCCCUGCAGGGCCUCUGCAGACAAAGGGAGGCGGCUUCCUUCUGGCUUGAUCUGGUUCCUCUCUUACUCUCCUUUCUUGCCCCAAACAACCCUUUAAAUUUAAUUU
rnacentral:lncRNA from 1 species